AUUAAAAAGGAAAAAAACAAAAAACAAAUUCAGGUUAACUCGUCAAACCCGAGAUCCGUGUCAUUAAAGUAUGAUAACUAAAUAAAAAAAAUUUCACAUUAACAAACUAAAUUAAACAAAAAAACAUUCAUUAAAA